UGAUUAUUUAGUUUAAGUAAAACAAAUGUUUUGAAAACAUUCAAUAAGAUAUUUAUUUCUUAAUAAUCGUC
rnacentral:tRNA from 1 species